UGAUGAUGGUGAGGGCAAUUUCUGAGCAUACCCUUAAAUCUCUCCCAAGCUUGGUAGAGGUCCUCUCCAUUCUUUUGUCUAAAACUCAGGAUUUCACUCCUCAAGAG
rnacentral:snoRNA from 1 species